rnacentral:rRNA from 1 species
AUUGAACGCUGGCGGCAUGCCUUACACAUGCAAGUCGAACGGCAGCACGGGUGCUUGCACCUGGUGGCGAGUGGCGAACGGGUGAGUAAUAUAUCGGAACAUACCCUAGAGUGGGGGAUAACGUAGCGAAAGUUACGCUAAUACCGCAUACGAACUAAGGUUGAAAGUGGGGGAUCGCAAGACCUCAUGCUCAUGGAGUGGCCGAUAUCUGAUUAGCUAGUUGGUGAGGUAAAGGCUCACCAAGGCGACGAUCAGUAGCUGGUUUGAGAGAACGACCAGCCACACUAGAACUGAGACACGGUCCAGACUCCUACGGGAGGCAGCAGUGGGGAAUUUUGGACAAUGGGGGCAACCCUGAUCCAGCAAUGCCGCGUGAGUGAAGAAGGCCCUCGGGUUGUAAAGCUCUUUUGUCAGGGAGGAAACGGUCUACUCUAAUACAGUGGGCUAAUGACGGUACCUGAAGAAUAAGCACCGGCUAACUACGUGCCAGCCGCCGCGGUAAAAC